CAGUAGCCACGGUAAAACGUAGGAGGCAAGCGUUGUUCGGAAUUAUUGGGCGUAAAGGGCUCGCAGGCGGUUUCUUAAGUCUGAUGUGAAAGCCCCCGGCUCAACCGGGGAGGGUCAUUGGAAACUGGGAAACUUGAGUGCAGAAGAGGAGAGUGGAAUUCCACGUGUAGCGGUGAAAUGCGUAGAGAUGUGGAGGAACACCAGUGGCGAAGGCGACUCUCUGGUCUGUAACUGACGCUGAGGAGCGAAAGCGUGGGGAGCGAACAGGAUUAGAUACCCGCGUAGUCCCUGUCUCUUAUAC
rnacentral:rRNA from 1 species